rnacentral:rRNA from 1 species
UAGGGAAUCUUCCACAAUGGACGCAAGUCUGAUGGAGCAACGCCGCGUGAGUGAAGAAGGUCUUCGGAUCGUAAAGCUCUGUUGUUGGUGAAGAAGGAUAGAGGCAGUAACUGGUCUUUAUUUGACGGUAAUCAACCAGAAAGUCACGGCUAACUACGUGCCAGCAGCCGCGGUAAUACGUAGGUGGCAAGCGUUGUCCGGAUUUAUUGGGCGUAAAGCGAGCGCAGGCGGAAUGAUAAGUCUGAUGUGAAAGCCCACGGCUCAACCGUGGAACUGCAUCGGAAACUGUCAUUCUUGAGUGCAGAAGAGGAGAGUGGAACUCCAUGUGUAGCGGUGGAAUGCGUAGAUAUAUGGAAGAACACCAGUGGCGAAGGCGGCUCUCUGGUCUGCAACUGACGCUGAGGCUCGAAAGCAUGGGUAGCGAACAGGAUUAGAUACCC